rnacentral:rRNA from 1 species
UACGUAGGGUGCGAGCGUUGUCCGGAAUUAUUGGGCGUAAAGAGCUUGUAGGCGGUCUGUCGCGUCUGCUGUGAAAAUCCGGGGCUCAACCCCGGACUUGCAGUGGGUACGGGCAGACUAGAGUGUGGUAGGGGAGACUGGAAUUCCUGGUGUAGCGGUGAAAUGCGCAGAUAUCGGGAGGAACACCUAUGGCGAAGGCAGCUUGCUGGGACGGCACUGACGCUGAGACGCGAAAGCGUGGGGAGCAAACAGG